UAAAGGGUAACCUAGUGGACAUGGCAUCUGCCCGGUAAGCAGAACACUGUGGGUUCGAUUCCCAUCCCUGGACACUUUUAU
rnacentral:tRNA from 1 species